rnacentral:lncRNA from 1 species
GGGACUCAUGAUAGAGGAACUCAAUCACACAGAUAGCUACAUCGAGAGGUUCAUCUUCAGUUCUGAUGGGUUGCCAUCACAUACUGCUAGGUAUCACUGAUAGAUUUUGAGAACAAUUAGAAUGAUAUUGAUGAUCGAUCAUUCUAAUUGUCUGAAUCAGAAGAGUUCUGAUCCAUCGAAAGGAGUUUCGAUGAUGUCGAUGAUGAGAUCACGAUAUGUCUUAUUACCAUACAGAAUUGAACCUAACUGG